rnacentral:rRNA from 1 species
GACGAACGUUGGCGGCGUGCUUAACACAUGCAAGUCGAACGGAAAGGCCCUGCUUUUGUGGGGUGCUCGAGUGGCGAACGGGUGAGUAACACGUGAGUAACCUGCCCUUGACUUUGGGAUAACUUCAGGAAACUGGGGCUAAUACCGGAUAGGAGCUCCUGCUGCAUGGUGGGGGUUGGAAAGUUUCGGCGGUUGGGGAUGGACUCGCGGCUUAUCAGCUUGUUGGUGGGGUAGUGGCUUACCAAGGCUUUGACGGGUAGCCGGCCUGAGAGGGUGACCGGCCACAUUGGGACUGAGAUACGGCCCAGACUCCUACGGGAGGCAGCAGUGGGGAAUAUUGCACAAUGGGCGGAAGCCUGAUGCAGCAACGCCGCGUGCGGGAUGACGGCCUUCGGGUUGUAAACCGCUUUCGCCUGUGACGAAGCGUGAGUGACGGUAAUGGGUAAAGAAGCACCGGCUAACUACGUGCCAGCAGCCGCGGUGAUACGUAGGGUGCGAGCGUUGUCCGGAUUUAUUGGGCGUAAAGGGCUCGUAGGUGGUUGAUCGCGUCGGAAGUGUAAUCUUGGGGCUUAACCCUGAGCGUGCUUUCGAUACGGGUUGACUUGAGGAAGGUAGGGGAGAAUGGAAUUCCUGGUGGAGCGGUGGAAUGCGCAGAUAUCAGGAGGAACACCAGUGGCGAAGGCGGUUCUCUGGGCCUUUCCUGACGCUGAGGAGCGAAAGCGUGGGGAGCGAACAGGCUUAGAUACCCUGGUAGUCCACGCUGUAAACGGUGGGUACUAGGUGUGGGGUCCAUUCCACGGGUUCCGUGCCGUAGCUAACGCUUUAAGUACCCCGCCUGGGGAGUACGGCCGCAAGGCUAAAACUCAAAGGAACUGACGGGGCCCCGCACAAGCGGCGGAGCAUGCGGAUUAAUUCGAUGCAACGCGUAGAACCUUACCUGGGUUUGACAUGGAUCGGGAGUGCUCAGAGAUGGGUGUGCCUCUUUUGGGGUCGGUUCACAGGUGGUGCAUGCCUGUCGUCAGCUCGUGUCGUGAGAUGUUGGGUUAAGUCCCGCAACGAGCGCAACCCUUGUUCACUGUUGCCGGCACGUUAUGGUGGGGACUCAGUGGAGACCGCCGGGGUCAACUCGGAGGAAGGUGGGGAUGACGUCAAGUCCUCAUGCCCCUUAUGUCCAGGGCUUCACGCAUGCUACAAUGGCUGGUACAGAGAGUGGCGAGCCUGUGAGGGUGAGCGAAUCUCGGAAAGCCGGUCUCAGUUCGGAUUGGGGGCUGCAACUCGACCUCAUGAAGUCGGAGUCGCUAGUAAUCGCAAAUCAGCAACGCUGCGGUGAAUACGUUCCCGGGGCC